rnacentral:rRNA from 1 species
GGGGAGCAAAUAGGAUUAGAUACCCUAGUAGUCCACGCCGUAAACGAUGAGGACCAAGUGUUGGGGGUGAAACCUCAGUGCUGAAGUUAACGCAGUGAGUCCUCCGCCUGGGGAGUAUGCACGCAAGUGUGAAACUCAAAGGAAUUGACGGGGGCCCGCACAAGCGGUGGAGUAUGUGGUUUAAUUCGAAGCAACGCGAAGAACCUUACCAGGCCUUGACAUGGGAUGCGAAGACGCAGAGAUGCGUUGGAGGCAAACAUCCACACAGGUGGUGCAUGGUUGUCGUCAGCUCGUGUCGUGAGAUGUUGGGUCAAGUCCCGCAACGAGCGCAACCCUUGUGGCAUGUUGCUAACAGGAAAGCUGAGGACUCAUGCCAGACUGCCGGUGACAAACCGGAGGAAGGCGGGGAUGACGUCAAAUCAUCAUGCCCCUUAUGGCCUGGGCUACACACGUACUACAAUGGCGGCUACAAAGAGCGGCGAGACAGUAAUGUCGAGCGAAUCUCAUAAAAGCCGUCCCAGUUCGGAUUGGAGCCUGCAACCCGGCUCCAUGAAGUUGGAAUCGCUAGUAAUCGCGGAUCAGCAUGCCGCGGUGAAUACGUUCCCGGGUCUUGUACUCACCGCCCGUCAA